rnacentral:rRNA from 1 species
UACAGAGGUCUCAAGCGUUGUCCGGAUUUAUUGGGCGUAAAGAGCGUGUAGGCGGCCAGACAGGUCCGUUGUGAAAACUCGAGGCUCAACCUCGAGACGCCGAUGGAAACCGUCUGGCUAGAGUCCGGAAGAGGAGAGUGGAAUUCCUGGUGUAGCGGUGAAAUGCGCAGAUAUCAGGAAGAACACCCGUGGCUAAGGCGGCUCUCUAGUACGGUACUGACGCUGAGGUGCGAAAGCGUGGGGAGCAAACAGG